UUCUCUUCUCGGCUGGAAUCUGAAAUGGCUCUUGUUCUCUUCUCGGCUGGAAUCUGAAAUGGGUUGUCCCCUUUCUCUUCUUCGCAUCUUUCGGGCAUGGCUACGCUCAAUAAGAACCCGGAAUAGAGGAGUUGCAGCGAUCACACCAAGGUCUUCCGUCGGCAGGACCUCUCUUUCUUUCACCAAAGGUGAUCCUCUUGCUUGUAGCGAUUGAAGUGACUCUAGCUUGUUCCUUCGAACUAGGUUCCUUUUGACUUUUGGGUAAACCCAUACCAGAAACCCAUACCCAACCCAAGACAAACAAAUAUUAAAAGUAACACAAAUUGCCAAAAGCAGUAGUACCUCUGCUCUCAAGAGAUUAGUCCACGGUCGGCGGCGAAACUCAGCAAAGACGGGAAAGAGGUUGAUGGUCGACGGUCGGCGGUCUACGAGAAAAAGAUUGAUGAUCAGGGGGGAAUCGGGAUUUAGG
rnacentral:lncRNA from 1 species